CACCGCGGUUAUACGAGAGGCCCUAGUUGAUAAGCACGGCGUAAAGGGUGGUUAAGGGAGUAUAUCAAUAAAGCCGAAGGGCCCUUUGGCCGUUAUACGCUUCUAGGCGCCCGAAGCCCAAACACGAAAGUAGCUUUAAUUUAGCCCACCUGACCCCACGAAAACUGAGAAA
rnacentral:rRNA from 1 species